GGUCUCCGUUGGUGAACCAGCGGAGGGAUCAUUACUGA
rnacentral:rRNA from 2 species